rnacentral:rRNA from 1 species
UUGGAGGGCAGUCUGGUGCAGCAGCCGCGGUAUUCCAGCUCCAUAGCGUAUAUUAAAGUUGUUGCAGUUAAAAAGCUCGUAGUUGAAUUUCGGAAUUUUUUUAUCGGUUGAACCAACAGGUUCGUACUGAUUUUAAGAAUUUCUACCUUCUGGAGAACCUUAAUGUCAUUUAUUUGAUGUUUUGGGAAACCAGGACUGUUACCUUGAAAAAAUUAGAGUAUUUAAAGCAGGCUUAUGUCUGAAUAUAUUAGCAUGGAAUAAUGAAAUAGGACGGCAUGGUUCUAUUUUGUUGGUUUCUAGGAUCACCGUAAUGAUUAAUAGGGAUAGUUGGGGGCAUUAGUAUUCAAUUGUCAGAGGUGAAAUUCUUGGAUUUAUUGAAGACUAACUUCUGCGAAAGCAUUUGCCAAGGAUGUUUUCAUUAAUCAAGAACGAAAGUUAGGGGAUCGAAGACGAUCAGAUACCGUCGUAGUCUUAACCAUAAACUAUGCCGACUAGGAAUCGGACGAAGUUAAUUUUUUAAUGACUCGUUCGGCGCCUUACGGGAAAC